GUAGUUAGCCGAGACUUGUUCCGGUGGUACCGUCCUGUCUCUUCCCACCGAAAAGAAGUUUACAAUCCGAAGACCGUCAUCCUUCACGCGGCGUUGCUGCCUCAGACUGGCGUCCAUUGGGCAAUAUUCCUUA
rnacentral:rRNA from 1 species